AGGUACCGGCUCACCAAGGUGAGGACGCAUAGCCGGCCUGAUAGGUUGGCCGGCCACAUUGGGACUGAGACACUGCCCAGACUCCUACGGGGGGCUGCAGUAACGAAUCUUCCGCAAUGCACGAAAGUGUGACGGAGCGACGCCGCGUGUGGGACGAAGCCCUUCGGGGUGUAAACCACUGUCAGGGGAUAGGAAAGUUCUGAUCAUCCCCAGAGGGAAGGCACGGUAACUCUGUGCCAGCAGCCGCGGUAAGACAGAGGUGCCAAGCGGUUAGGCGGAAUCACUGGGCUUAAACGCGUGUGUAGGCGGGGUUCGUAAGGUACCUUGUGAAAUCCCACGGUUUAACCGGUGGAACUGCUCGGUAUACUGCGAGUCUUGAGCCAAACUAGGGGCUACUGGAACAAAUGGUGGCAGCGGUGAAAUG
rnacentral:rRNA from 1 species